GACGAACGCUGGCGGCGUGCCUAAUACAUGCAAGUAGAACGCUGAAGAGAGGAGCUUGCUCUUCUUGGAUGAGUUGCGAACGGGUGAGUAACGCGUAGGUAACCUGCCUUGUAGCGGGGGAUAACUAUUGGAAACGAUAGCUAAUACCGCAUAACAAUGGAUGACACAUGUCAUUUAUUUGAAAGGGGCAAUUGCUCCACUACGAGAUGGACCUGCGUUGUAUUAGCUAGUAGGUGAGGUAACGGCUCACCUAGGCGACGAUACAUAGCCGACCUGAGAGGGUGAUCGGCCACACUGGGACUGAGACACGGCCCAGACUCCUACGGGAGGCAGCAGUAGGGAAUCUUCGGCAAUGGGGGCAACCCUGACCGAGCAACGCCGCGAGAGUGAAGAAGGGUUUCGGAUCGUAAAGCUCUGUUGUAAGUCAAGAACGAGUGUGAGAGUGGAAAGUUUACACUGUGACGGUAGCUUACCAGAAAGGGACGGCUAACUACGUG
rnacentral:rRNA from 1 species